ACUUAAUCAUUAACAUAAUCAAGCCAUCCUGAUUGUACCCUCAGUAGAGGGCAGUAUUUGCUACAUCUCCUUGGGAGGAAAGACUUGUACAUUUGUCUGGCUUUGAGAUCUACCCAGAAGAAAUGGGAAAGAUGAGCUGCAUAGUGCAAGGUCAGGUUCUAGACUCUCUGACACCAGUCUUGCAUGUGCAUGUGACAUGAAAGGUGAACCAGUGUUAACUUUUUCCUUUGGAAAUCAGAGCUAAGUGGCACAAAAAGAGAUAUUUAGGAUCCCAAAAUGAAAAAGGAGAAAAGGCUUUAGAAUAGCUAAGAAGUUAUUUUAAAUUUGAGAACUGUAACUUCUGAACACGUUAAAGUCUUGUAAAUGCAGAGGUUUUGUUACUUUUGUUUUGCUUUUUGCUGUUGUUUUUGUUUGUUUUGCUUUCUUUGUGAGAGUCCAUUGGAAAGAAAUGGAACUCUCUCAGGCUUGGAUAUUUGAAAAGCUUAAUCAGAGCUGGAAAAGAAGUGGAUAUUGAAGAGUUGCUUUCUUCCUCCCACUCUUCUGCUUUCCAAAUCAUGGAAAUACUCAGUUAAAAAUUCUAAUUCAUAUUCAAAAGAUAUUAAAAAGUGAAUCAGGGCAAGACUGAAUAUCUCCCCGUGCUGCUGGAAUAAAGGGCCAAGCCCUUCAAACUAUGAGUAAGACUAACAGAAUUAUUCACUUCAUCUUCUUGCCAAAAGACAACCUUGAAUUAUCUGCUGCCCAAAUUUUAUUAAAAGAUAAAAACAUCCAUGAAAGGCCGGAAUAACAUGCAUCUAUUCAAUCUCUAAACAUUUAGAACUAUUUUUUCUGGAUCAAGCCAGAUAAAUAAAGAGAAAAGCUCAGCUGUAAAGUACUAUUUUUGCCCUUAUAGCAUAGUUUCAUUAAACUUUACUUUGUCAUUAUGUUUUCAGCUUGGAUAUAAGAAUCUAUCAGAUACAAGCAUAUGUCGGCAGCAGGAAUGGUGCUGAGGAAAUGUCUCCUGGCAUCUUUCAGAAGUCCAUUUAUGAAAGGGUCUCCUAACUCAGACUGCUGAACAUGACGGUACUGAAUUACAAAUUUACGAAGAAAGAGAAUCCAGGAGAUACCAAGAAGCUAGAUGUUAACCUGCAGGAUUCUAAAUCUGAGGAACUGUGCUUGGAACAGUGAGGGAAGAGGUGUGCAAACAGCAGAAUGUGUCAGGCUUUUUCAUUUUACUUAUGGCAUAUGUCAAGGGCUUCCAAUCUAAACCUUCUUUUACCUUAUCAAGACACAGCAUCCAGAACCCUACCAGCAAAACUUCUAUCCCAGGAAUUAGACAGAAAGAUUUACCUUUGGAGGAAACUGAAUAGCCAAAAGAAAGACUUACAGAUAUUCACAUUUGGAGAUCUCCAGUGAAAAACAUGACCAGCCACCUUAUCACCCUCCAGUGAAGCCCACCAAUCAAUAAAACUCUGCUUAUGCACUCAGAACUUCUGAUUAGCUUUUUAAUGCCUUAUUCUUACAUGUGAAUGGACAACCAAGUAUUUCCAAAGGUAAAAGACAAAGACCCAAAAUAAAGACAUUUUUAAAAGGACCCUGGAGGAAGCAAAGAAAAAAAUAAGAGAGCAGAAAGGGAAGAACACACUAUAAUAUGCUUGGAGAGAAUAAGAUAUUGCACCCACAAGACAAAGAAGAAUGCUGCAAACCAAAAGAACAACAAAGGCAUAAGGAAGAGCUCUAAAUAGGACUGCUAGAUCCAAAAUGCAGGAAAAGGAUUGAAGGAAAAAGUUGAGGUCAUAUCAGAAAAUAGAACAAAAAGACCA
rnacentral:lncRNA from 1 species